rnacentral:pre_miRNA from 1 species
AUUCCUCUCUUGGCAUUCACCGCGUGCCUUAAUUGUAUGGACAUUAAAUCAAGGUCCGCUGUGAACACGCAGAGUGACAAC